AUACGAACUGUGCAAACGUUAUUCGGAAUCACUGGGCUUAAAGGGUGCGUAGGCGGGUUUGAAGGUCUGAUGUGAAAGCCCACGGCUCAACCGUGGAAUUGCGUUGGAAACCACAAGCCUUGAGGGAGUCAGAGGUGAGCGGAACUAAUGGUGGAGCGGUGAAAUGCGUUGAUAUCAUUAGGAACACCGGUGGCGAAAGCGGCUCACUGGGACUCUUCUGACGCUGAGGCACGAAAGCUAGGGGAGCGAACGGGAUUAGAAACCCUAGUAGUCC
rnacentral:rRNA from 1 species